AGGGGUAUAGCUCAGUGGCAGAGCAUAUGCCUAACAUGCACAAGGUCCUGGUUCAAUCCCCAGUACCUCCA
rnacentral:tRNA from 1 species